AGCCCCUCUGUUAACUUUUGUUCGAGCCUGUCUAGAUCUUUUAUUAGUCUAGAAAGAUGUUGGAGAAAAGACAUCAUCCUCUACUAUAAUCUCCAUCUGUAAUUGGACUAACAACUGGACCAGUGAAUGCAGGUCACACCAUGGUCUCAAGAGGGAAAAUGAGUGCUCUAUGGAUUGAACAGAAAAGGUGAAUCAAAACUCCAACCAUCUGUAUGAGGGUCUGGAUGGAUAAAGGAUGCCCACUGGAGCUGGAAAUGAUGGAUCAGGUGGAUCCACACUUGAACCAUCUGUAUGAUGAUCUGCACCCACUGGAUCUGUAAAUGGUGGUGCAGGUUUCUGAAUUGAUGUCAGAUGCAAAGCAGAAGCUUAUUUUCUUCCAGUUUGGCUUCAUUGUGGAAAAAUGCUUGAAACUAAAAUGCAG